UCCAGUUGAUCCUGCUGGCGGCUGCGGCUCUUUGGUUUGCAUUUAGACAUGCAAGUUUUUUUUGGUUUCUUCGGAAAUUAAAAGGCGAACUGCUCAGUAACACGUAGCUAACUUACCCUUAAGUCAAAGAUAACCUCAGGAAACUGAGGCUAAUACUUGAUAGGAGACAUGCCCUGGAAUGACUUGUCUCUCAAACUCGUGCUUAAGGAUAGGGCUGCGGUGGAUUAGGUUGUUGGCGGGGUAAUGGCCCACCAAGCCGAAGAUCCAUAAGGGCUCUUAGCGGAGAGGCCCUGAGAGGGAAUCUGAGACACUAUUCCCAGCCCUACGGGGUGCAGCAGUUAGGAAUCUUCUGCAAUGCGCGAAAGCGUGACAGAGCGAGCCAAAGUGUUUUCCAAUUGGAAAACUUUUAUGAAAUUUAAAAAUUUUCACGAAUAAGGACUGGGUAAGACUAGUGCCAGCCGCCGCGGUAAUACUAGCGGUCCAAGUCGCAGCCAUUUUUAUUGGGUCUAAAACAUCCGUAGCUUGCUUGAUAAGUUUCUUGUGAAAUCUGGCCUCUUAAGGGUCAGGCGUGCAAGAAGUACUAUCAAGCUAGAGACAGGAAGACGUGAGAAGUACGUUCAAAGUAGCGGUAAAAUGUGUUAAUCUUGAACGGACUCACAAGAGCGAAGGCAUCUCACGAGGACUGUUCUGACAGUAAGGGAUGAAGGCUAGGGGCGCAAAACGGAUUAGAUACCCGUGUAGUCCUAGCAGUAAACACUGCACACUAAACAUUAGUACCUCCUCGAGAGGUAUUGGUGCUGAAGGGAAGCCGAAGAGUGUGCUACCUGGGAAGUAUAGUCGCAAGGCCGAAACUUAAAGGAAUUGGCGGGGAGACACUACAACGGGUGACGCGUGCGGUUCAAUCAGAUUUUACAUCGUGAACCUUACCAGGACCGACAGCAGGAUGAAGGUCAGUCUAAAGGGCUUACCUGACACGCUGAGAGGAGUUGCAUGGCCAACGUCAGCCUGUGCCGUGAGGUGACCUGCUAAAUCAGGUAACAGGCAAGACCCUCGUGCAUAUUUACAAUGAACUAUAUGCAGAUUGCCUUGGCAACGAGGAUGAAAGUGAGGGCUACGUUAGGUGUGUACAGCCCGACAGCCCUGGGCUACACGCGCGCGUCAAAGGUGAAUACAAUGGGAUGCCACUCCGAGAGGAGGAGCUAAUCUCCUAAAAUUCAUCUCAGUCUAGAUUGAGGAUUGUAACCCAUCCUCAUGACACUGGAAUCCGUAGUAAUCGGGUGUUAUCAGCGCCCGGUG
rnacentral:rRNA from 1 species